UCCNAUUCUUGCAAGAAUGUCCAAAUAAAGUGAAUGCUUCUUCACCAACUUUGUUCACAAUGUAUUUUGUUCAGGGUUAUACUGAACCUACUUCUUACAGAUGGGGGCUGCGUCCGGGAUGAUAAUAAAUCAUCAGAGACACCGAGUCAGCAGCUGAGAAGAGAGGAAGACGCGUCCCGUUGAGUUUAACGGUCCUUGACUCUAUCUGAGGGCUCGGUGUCCUGAGACUGAAAUUUCCCGAGACAAAGUGAACUUGGUGAACAAGCACAGGAAGGGAAAUGGUAAGAAUUAAAGGCAACAACCAGGUUAACUUCAUGCAUGAACCAAGACAAGCCAAGGAAAAUAGACCUUGGAUUCAGCUUCAACUGACUACCCUGACAAAUCUGUUCAGAAGUGACCUGCCAUUGCCUUCUUCUGAGGAGACACNGUGGAUUGGACCUAGACCUUCAGCACACAAACUGGAUGUUCUACCACCUAGCUAUGGUCACUUCUGAAGGGGAGGGGCAUACAGGAAGUUCAUGAUGUAUUUCUGCCUGAAUAUACUGGGGGCAGAGGAGGCUAAUAUGUGGCCUUCCCUUUGUUGCUGAACUCCAGCUCCUAUGAGCCUCAGUUAGGCUGGCCAAUGGCAGGAAGGCAGUUAGGGUUUGGUGACAUGUGAAGGGCAAUACUUCACCUACACUUGGCAACAGGGCACAUGAACCAGCAUGUUGAGAUGACAAAUUAUUUCCCUCUGUCCUACAAAAACUAGANUAUAGACUUGCUUUGUAAUUUUGGUUGCCACAUGGCAUCCAAGUCGUGGUGCCAAUAACUUUAAUAGUUAUGUAGAAAAAGAAAUUUCUGCAGGUGUUGCCUGAGUUACAAUCUACAUUGGCUGAAAUUUCUUCAUUUACACAAUUGUUAAAAAACAUAGGACUCCCUGA
rnacentral:lncRNA from 1 species